rnacentral:lncRNA from 1 species
AGGUUAUUAUAGAAUAUGGAGUAGAUUUCCCUGUGCUCUACCCUAGGUCUUUGUUAGUUACUUAUUUUAUGUACAGUAGUGUGUAUAUACUAUUCCUGUCUUCCUAAUUUAUCCCUCCCUCCCAUGUUUGAUUUCAAAAUCUAUGAGUUUUUUCUGUUUUAUAAAGAAGUUCUUUUGUAUCAUUUUUAUUAGAUUCCACAUAUAAUAGAUAGCAUAAUAUUUGUCUUUCUCUGUCUGACUUACUUCGCAUAGUAUGAUCAUCUCUAGGUCCAUCCAUGUUGCUACAAAUGGCAUUAUUUUAUUCUUUUUUAUGGCUGUGUAGUAUUCCUGAAGAUUUCCAUUCUUAAAAGAGCCAGUCUGCUUGAAAUAAAUAUUAAUACUACUGCUACAUCACAAUGAUUUAAGGUGUCAAUGAUCUUAGCAAGUCUCUAUUUGUAAUAAUGUAAUGAGUUUUUUUCCUUUUGUGAUAUUCCCAGACCCUCACCCUAACACCAUGCUCUCUAGAAAUCCAUAUUUUAUUUAGGGCCAUAGGUACAGCAUAUGGAAGUUUCCAGGUUGGAUCCAAGUUGCAGCUGCCAGCCUAUGCCACAGCCACAGCAAGGCCAGAUCUAAGCCACUACAGCUCACAGCAAACCUGGAUCCUUAACCCAUUGAGCAAGGGCAGGGAUUGAACCUGCAUCCUCAUGGAUACUAGUCAGGUUCGUUUCCACUGAGCCAUGAUGGGAACUCCCCUGAAAUCCAUAAUUUAGAGUUGGUUUAACAAAUUUCAUUUAAAUGACCAGUUGAAGCCAUUAUAAGUAUGAAAAUACCAUUUGAAACUCAAUUAUAAUAGGUCAGCCCAAAGUGUUUUAUUUAUAUACAACUUGAAGAAGUUAUUCCUGCCCAGUAACCUUCCCCUAUUCUCCAUCCAGUGAAUAAUACUGAUUUACUUAUCCAAAAUUUGCUCAAUAGAAGUAUGAAUUAAUCAACAAUAUUUUGUAAUGGAAAAAGAGCUAAACUCUUUAGGGGCAUUAAAUUUCAUUUCAAAGCUAGCUUGAAUUAAAUGUUAAAUAAUAUCGGAAAAAAAACCUGCCAGAAAAUUACUGAUUCCUAAUUUAUAAUGAAAAUGGAAAUUUCCAUCAUCAUCCCCUUUUUCCUUCAUUGAAGAAGCAUUCCAUGCACACUUAUUAAAUUUGUGUCUUAAAAAUAUUUUCAACCUUAAUCGCAGAGACAAAAAUGUUUGCCAUUUUCCCCACAGCAGUGUGUACUUGAAGUUAUGAAUUUAUAUGAAUCUCCUCUAUCUCUUAAAAUUGGUUUUGUGAAAUUAAAUCAUAGCAAUACUUUUAUAUUCAGUUAAAUUUUAGAAAGGGGACCAUAUUAAACCAUAUUAUUUAAAUUAUUUAGUGAGUCACUGCUAAACCUCUCUAGUCACAAAACGGUAACCUCAUCUAUAAAGGCAUAUUUCCCUGGUUUUCAACAUGCACCCCUCUACUUGAUAUCCGUAAUCCUAAAAAGCGAAUAAUGCCAUCACUUGAAUCAGAUUUCUUCCCCGGUUUAAUUGUUAUAUGUUAGGAAGUCAAGAAUCCAUUUCAGUUACUUGAUCUUAUUCUACAAACUCUCAGACCGGGCCUUAAUGUACACUAUACACAUCUUCCAGGCACCAUUACAUCAAGCAAACGUCAGUUGUCACUUGAUGGGGCCAUUAACUAGACAAGUCCAAAAUAAAACUCAGAACAGAGAGGACAUGUCAUGCAUUCUAUAAAUUGUAUGUUCUGAGACCCUAUUAAGGCUGACAGGGAAGGGAGCCUGCAAUUGGCGAGCACCUGAUUACACCUUGUACUUUAUUCCCUGUUGACUUUGGUUAUGCCAUACCUUUCCAUUUCCUAGAGAAAUAAAUUAAAAGUCAGAAGUAAUUUGCCUGACGAAGGGUGCAGGUGGGAUUUUGCUCAGAAGAGCCUUUGCAUACUGUGAAAUCCAAUUUAACCCCUUGAUGGGGGAUAGCUUAUUUUCUUUUGUUGACAGCCUUGCUACAGCUAAAAUAGGGAUCUGAUUAAAUAGAGACAGUGAGAGAUUGAGGUCUUCUUCUAACAGCAGGGGGAUCAAGGCCUCUAAUCUUAUCUUCUAGAACAGGGAGAUGAACUGAGGACAGAGGCAGAAAGAUAAGUCCAGCUAUUUUUGUGCAGUGAGAGAGGAAAGUACUAAGAGGACAUAGCACAAGGAAAUAUGAACAAUUGUUUCCAAAACGUAGAUUGAAAAUAAGAAAAUCUAAACUAUAGACUGAAAGACCAAAAAAAAAAAAAAAAAAAAAAA